rnacentral:rRNA from 1 species
GAUGAACGCUAGCGGGAGGCCUAACACAUGCAAGCCGAGCGGUAUUGUUUCUUCGGAAAUGAGAGAGCGGCGUACGGGUGCGUAACACGUGUGCAACGUGCAUUUAUCUGGGGGAUAGGCUUUCGAAAGGAAGAUUAAUACUCCAUAAUAUAUUGAACGGCAUCGUUUAAUAUUGAAAGCUAAGGCGGAUAGAGAUGGGCACGCGGAAGAUUAGCUAGGUGGUGAGGUAACGGCUCACCAAGGCGAUGAUCUGUAGGGGGCCUGAGAGGGUGAUCCCCCACACUGGUACUGAGACACGGACCAGACUCCUACGGGAGGCAGCAGUGAGGAAUAUUGGUCAAUGGGUGCAAGCCUGAACCAGCCAUCCCGCGUGAAGGACGACUGCCCUAUGGGUUGUAAACUUCUUUUGUAUAGGGAUAAACCUACCCUCGUGAGGGUAGCUGAAGGUACUAUACGAAUAAGCACCGGCUAACUCCGUGCCAGCAGCCGCCGCAG